AUGGUUCUGCUUUAUCCUACAGCCAUGGGCCUCAACAAGGGCCACAAGGUGACCAAGAAUGUGAGCAAGCCCAGGCCCAGCUGCCAUCGCAGGUGCCUGACCAAACACACCAAGUUCAUGCGGGAUAUGAUCUGAGAGGUGUGUGGCUUCACCCUGUAUGGGCAGCAUCCCAUGGAGUAGCUCAAGGUCUCCAAGGACAAAAGGGCCUUCAAGUUCAUCAAGAAAAAGGUGGGAACACACAUCCGCACCAAGAGGAAGUAGGAGGAGCUGCGCAAUGUCCUGGCCACCAUGAGGAAAGCCGCUGCCAAGGACUGA
rnacentral:lncRNA from 1 species